GCAGAAGGGCUUUGACGUUUUCAAUGCACUGGAUCUCAUGGAGAACAAGACUUUCUUGGAGAAACUGAAAUUCGGGAUUGGAGAUGGAAACUUACAGUAUUACCUUUACAAUUGGAAAUGCCCCAGCAUGGGGCCAGAGAAGGUGGGCUUGGUGCUGCAGUAAUCAGCAGUCCCUGGAGAAAUGCGGGCAGAGCUACUGAAGAGCUAGGCCGGAGCGGAAGGAUCGGUCCUCGUGGAUCCUCUUCCCUCGGGGGUGAGAACCUUCCGUAGUGGAGACCACACCCACCGACCACCUGGCCACGCAAAGCAUCCACUGACACUUCUGGUGAUCGUCUCGUGUGCCUCGGAGUGCAGCAGCGCGUCAGCCUCAGCAGUUGGCCUCUCUUCCCCUCCCCCCCCCAACACUCCCCCUCCCCAAUUAAUCACUUUUCAUACAAGUACGAUCAAGGGAAUGUAACUGCUGGAAAUUGGCUCACGAUUGACAUAUAUUGGAGUUAACGGGUGAAUAAUAAUAAAAUAUAUAUAUAUUCUAUAUUA